rnacentral:SRP_RNA from 1 species
GCUGGGCGUGGUGGCACGUGCCUGUAGUCCCAGCUACUCGGGAGGCUGAGGCAGGAGAAUUGCUUGAACCCAGGAGACGGAGGUUGCAGUGAGUCGAGAUCGCACCACUGCACUCCAGCCUGGGUGACAGAGCAAGACUCUGUCUCAA